rnacentral:rRNA from 1 species
UACGUAGGGUGCGAGCGUUGUCCGGAAUUAUUGGGCGUAAAGGGCUCGUAGGCGGUUUGUCGCGUCGGGAGUGAAAACACCGGGCUUAACUCGGUGCUUGCUUUCGAUACGGGCAGACUAGAGGUAUGCAGGGGAGAACGGAAUUCCUGGUGUAGCGGUGAAAAUGCGCAGAUAUCAGGAGGAACACCGGUGGCGAAGGCGGUUCUCUGGGACGGUACUGACGCUGAGACGCGAAAGCGUGGGGAGCAAACAGG